rnacentral:rRNA from 1 species
UUAAAUUGAGAGUUUGAUCCUGGCUCAGGAUGAACGCUGGCGGCGUGCUUAACACAUGCAAGUCGAGCGAUGAAGUUUCCUUAGGGAAACGGAUUAGCGGCGGACGGGUGAGUAACACGUGGGUAACCUGCCUCAUAGAGUGGAAUAGCCUUCCGAAAGGAAGAUUAAUACCGCAUAAUGUUGAAAGAUGGCAUCAUCAUUCAACCAAAGGAGCAAUCCGCUAUGAGAUGGACCCGCGGCGCAUUAGCUAGUUGGUGGGGUAACGGCCUACCAAGGCGACGAUGCGUAGCCGACCUGAGAGGGUGAUCGGCCACAUUGGGACUGAGACACGGCCCAGACUCCUACGGGAGGCAGCAGUGGGGAAU